rnacentral:rRNA from 1 species
UACAGAGGGUGCGAGCGUUGUCCGGAAUCACUGGGCGUAAAGGGCGCGUAGGGGGCGGCCCAAGUCCGUGGUGAAAGCUCGCCGCUUAACGGCGAGUCGGCCACGGAGACUGGGUGGCUCGAGCACUGUAGGGGCAGAUGGAAUUCCGGGUGUAGCGGUGGAAUGCGUAGAGAUCCGGAAGAACACCAGUGGCGAAGGCGGUCUGCUGGGCAGUUGCUGACACUGAUGCGCGACAGCGUGGGGAGCAAACAGG